GUCCUAGUAGCUCAGCAGGAUAGAGCGCUCCCCUCCUAAGGGAGAGGUCAGAGGUUCAAAUCCUCUCUAGGACG
rnacentral:tRNA from 2 species